AUGACGGUGGCGGUGUGCCAUGUCAUGCCGGCGCUGGACGUCGCUCCUCUUCACACUCGCACUCGCAUGCCGGCGCCGAUGCCUCCGCCGCAGCAGCUGGACAUGUGGAGCGCCAUCCAGGCCCCGGCCGCCGACGACUGCGGCGCCAAGCCGGAGCCUCCGGCUGUGAAGACCAAGGCCGGUUACCCGAUGACGGCGGUGCGGCGUUCCAUGAGCCACGAGAGCCUCAGCCGCUGCACCGAGAGCCUCGGCUGCGAGACCGGCACCCGCGGCGACAUCCUCGACCUGGCGUCCCUCCUCUACGCGCCGCCGACUUCCCACCAGACCGACGAUGCCGUCGCCGCCGACUUAUUCUCGCCACCGGCAUUGCAAGACGAAGAGGAGGAGGAUGAGUUGGAGGGCGAGGAGGAGAAGCUGACUCUUAGGGAGGUGCAGUACCACCGCGCUCGGCGGCAGCGCGCGUUCCCGCCGCCGCUGCCGUCCAUGUCCCGCCGGCGCGGCGACGAUGCCGGGCCGUGCCUGCGGGUGCGCCCGCACCGCCGCGACGGUCGCCUCGUGCUGGAGGCCGUGGCCGCCAAGCCCCAGGGGUACCUCCACGCCCAGCGCCAGGACGGCCGCCUCAAGCUCUGCUUCGUCGACUGCUCCUCUGCUUCCGCUUCUGUUCGCGAACACGAGAAGCAGAGCAUGGUGCAACCACAGCAGAAGCAGAGCAUGGUGGAACAGCCACAUCAUGACGAGAAGGAAGCGGAAGAGGAGGAGGACGAGGUGGAGGUGGUUGACAGGGGCACGGUGGUGGAGGUGGUUGCGGCGUCCGGCAAGGCGCAGCGGUGCUCGAGGAUCGUCAUCAACAAGUUCGUGGGCGGCGCGCCGGCCACCGACGACCUGAACGCUACCCCAUCCCCAUCGCGCGGCUCCAGAGCAGACGAGGAAGAAGCCGCUCAGCCAGCGACGCCUGGGCUGCGCCGGGUGCCGUCGUCCACGACGACGCUGGCGGCCGCGGUGGCGGCCGCGUCCACGGGCAUGCAGUCCGACGAGGAGGAAGAGGAAGAGGUCGACGAGGAGGAGAAGGAGAGCGCGGCGCUGCUGUUCACGUCGCGGGUGGGGGACAGGGAGGAGCUGGUGCAGAGCGUGCGGCGGUGCCGGCAGCUCCGGCAGAGGCCGCUCUUCAUCGUGGAGCCAUACUCCAUCAUCGCCGCCUGA
rnacentral:rRNA from 1 species